rnacentral:rRNA from 1 species
UAGUAACGGCGAGUGAACGGGGAAGAGCCCAGCGCUGAAUCCAUCGGCCACUGGUCGCUUGGAAUUGUAGCGUAUAGGUGCGGCUGUCCGUUCGUAUCGUGCACCCAAAGUCCCCUUGAGCGGGGCCACAGUCCGAAGAAGGUGCUAGACCUGUACGGGUGGCGAGACGGUCGGUUGGUCGCUCCUUGGAGUCGGGUUGCCUGGGAUCGCAGCCCAAAGUUGGUGGUAGACCUCAUCUAAGGCUAAAUACGGCCACGAAACCGAUAGCAAACAAGUACCGUGAGGGAAAGUUGCAAAGAACUUUGAAGAGAGAGUUCAAGAGGGCGUGAAACCGCUGAGAUGGAAACGGAUAGAGUUGACGGAGCUCUGCUGCAUUCAACCGAUCGGCCCAGCGGUCCAAUGGUUUUGACUUCCUCGAUGAGGGCAAUGCCGUUGAUAGCCGUUGGGUGCUUGAUCGGUGUAUUUGCGGCUGGUAUGCGCUGAGGGCUUUGUGGGCGCGUCUCGACGGGUGUGGAGUGGACCAUACCUUCUCGGUGUGGAACCCUUCGCGCUCUUAGGCAUGUCGCCCGUAAAGUUUCGGAAGUGCCGUCUCCGCUAUGGUGCAUCGGCUUUGUCGAGCUGCUGUCGCUUCAGGUUGGUCGCAUGCGACCGCCGGUUGUCGUCAAUGGCGUGAUGAGGUGCAGAUGCGCUGAGGCGUGCACCUCGGUGUGAACGUUGACCACCUAUCCGACCCGUCUUGAAACACGGACCAAGGAGUUUAGCAUAUGCGCGAGUCAUUGGGUGGAAAACCCAAAGGCGCAAUGAAAGUAAAAGUCGUCUCGAUACGACCGAUAUGGGAUCCGUAUGGCUUCCGAGUCGUGCGGAGCACCAUAGCCCCGUCCCCGUUGCUUGCAAUAGGGCGGAGGUAGAGCGUAUACGCUGAGACCCGAAAGAUGGUGAACUAUGCCUGAGCAGGAUGAAGCCAGAGGAAACUCUGGUGGAAGUCCGAAGCGGUUCUGACGUGCAAAUCGAUCGUCUGACUUGGGUAUA